rnacentral:rRNA from 1 species
UGGGGAAUAUUGCACAAUGGGCGAAAGCCUGAUGCAGCAACGCCGCGUGAGUGAUGAAGGUCUUCGGAUUGUAAAGCUCUGUCUUUUGGGACGAUAAUGACGGUACCAAAGGAGGAAGCCACGGCUAACUACGUGCCAGCAGCCGCGGUAAUACGUAGGCGGCGAGCGUUGUCCGGAUUUACUGGGCGUAAAGGGUGCGUAGGCGGAUGUUUAAGUGAGAUGUGAAAUACCCGGGCUUAACUUGGGUGCUGCAUUUCAAACUGGAUAUCUAGAGUGCAGGAGAGGAGAAUGGAAUUCCUAGUGUAGCGGUGAAAUGCGUAGAGAUUAGGAAGAACACCAGUGGCGAAGGCGAUUCUCUGGACUGUAACUGACGCUGAGGCACGAAAAGCGUGGGUAGCAAACAGGAUUAGAUACCCUGGUAGUCCACGCCGUAAACGAUGAGUACUAGGUGUAGGAGGUAUCGACCCCUUCUGUGCCNCAGUAAAACACAUUAAAGUACUCCGCCUG